GGAUUAUGGCUCAGCGGUAGAGCGCUUGCCUAGCAUGUGCGGGCCCUGGGUUCUAUCCUCAGCACCA
rnacentral:tRNA from 1 species